rnacentral:rRNA from 1 species
UACAGAGGGUGCGAGCGUUAAUCGGAAUUACUGGGCGUAAAGCGUGCGUAGACGGUUAUUUAAGUCGGGUGUGAAAGCCCCGGGCUCAACCUGGGAAUUGCAUUCGAGACUGCACGGCUAGAGUGUGUCAGAGGGGGGUAGAAUUCCACGUGUAGCAGUGAAAUGCGUAGAUAUGUGGAGGAAUACCGAUGGCGAAGGCAGCCCCCUGGGAUAACACUGACGCUCAUGCACGAAAGCGUGGGGAGCAAACAGG